UACAGAGGGUGCAAGCGUUAAUCGGAAUUACUGGGCGUAAAGCGUGCGUAGUCGGUUAUCUAAGUCGGUGGUGAAAUCCCCGGGCUCAACCUGGGAAUUGCAUUCGAUACUGGAUAGCUAGAGUUCGGCAGAGGGAAGCGGAAUUUCGGGUGUAGCGGUGAAAUGCGUAGAUAUCGGGAGGAACACCAGUGGCGAAGGCGACUACCUGGCCUGUUCUUGACGCUGAGGCGCGAAAGCUAGGGGAGCAAACGGG
rnacentral:rRNA from 1 species